rnacentral:rRNA from 1 species
AACGAACGCUGGCGGCAUGCCUAACACAUGCCAGUCGAACGAGACCUUCGGGUCUAGUGGCGCACGGGUGCGUAACGCGUGGUAACCUGCCCUUAGGUUCGGAAUAACUCCCCGAAGGGGGUGCUAAUACCGGAUAAUGUCUUCGGACCAAAGAGUUAUCGCCUUUGGAUGGGCCCGCGUUGGUUUAGGUAGUUGGUAGGGUAAAAGCCUACUAAGGCGACGAUCCAUAGCUGGUCUGAGAGGAUGAUCAGCCACAAUGGGACUGAGACACGGCCCAGACUCCUACGGGAGGCAGCAGUAGGGAAUAUUGGACACUGGGCGAAAGCCUGAUAAAGCAAUGCCGCGUGAGUGAUGCAGGCCUUAGGGUUGUAAAGCUCUUUUACCCGGGACGAUAAUGACAGUACCGGGAGAAUAAGCACCGGCUAACUCCGUG